rnacentral:rRNA from 1 species
GUUUCCGUAUCCGGUGUGCGUUGGGUUGGUGGUGGCUGAGCUGCGCCUCGUGUGUGGCUUGGGUGCUGCUGGCUCUUAAGCGUUCACUGCGCGGGUAGAGCUUCUUAGAGAGACAAAUGGCCUUAGCUGAAUGAAAUUGAGCAAUAACAGGUCUGUGAUGCCCUUAGAUGUCCGGGGCCGCACGCGCGCUACAAUGACGGUGCCAGCGAGUAUGAUCUCCUGGCCCGAGAGGGUCAGGUAAACUGAUCCAUAGCCGUCGUGACAGGGAUCGGGGUUUGUAAUUAUCCCCCGUGAACGAGGAAUUCCCAGUAAGUGCAAGUCAUAAGCUUGUGCUGAUUACGUCCCUGCCCUUUGUACGCACCGCCCGUCGCUACUACCGAUUGAAUGGUUUGGCAAGGCUUUCGGAUCGGCGUCAUUGCAGUGGCUUGUCCGCUCGAUAGAUGCUGAGAAGAGA